rnacentral:rRNA from 1 species
AGUGAACGCUGGCGGUAGGCCUAACACAUGCAAGUCGAACGGCAGCACAGUAAGAGCUUGCUCUUACGGGUGGCGAGUGGCGGACGGGUGAGGAAUACAUCGGAAUCUACUUUUUCGUGGGGGAUAACGUAGGGAAACUUACGCUAAUACCGCAUACGACCUACGGGUGAAAGCAGGGGAUCUUCGGACCUUGCGCGAUUGAAUGAGCGGAUGUCGGAUUAGCUAGUUGGCGGGUUAAAGGCCAACCAAGGCGCCGAUCCGUGGCUGGUCUGAGAGGAUGGUCAGCCACACUGGAACUGGGACACGGUCCAGACUCCUACGGGAGGCAGCAGUGGGGAAUAGUGGACAAUGGGCGCAAGCCUGAUCCAGCCAUACCGCGUGGGUGAAGAAGGCCUUCGGGUUGUAAAGCCCUUUUGUUGGGAAAGAAAAGCAGCAGGUUAAUACCCCGCUGUUCUGACGGUACCCAAAGAAUAAGCACCGGCUAACUUCGUG